ACCGGGAGAGGGAUAAUUAGAAGGGAGGAGGCUAGGGUUUCGCAGUUAAACCCGAAAACUUUAGCCGACGAAAUAAUUAUUUCGUCGGCUAAAGCUACGAAUUUCGUCGGCUAUACAUCAAUUCGUCGGCUAAACCUUCUAAAUUCGUCGGCUAAAACUUUGAAAUUCGUCGGCUAAACUUUAUAAAUUCGUCGGCUAAACCUUUGAAAUUCGUCGGCUAACCUUUGAAAUUCGUCGGCUAAAAGUAUUUUUAUACAUUUGGCACAUUGUGAUUGUGAUGAUCAAACUUGAGAAAAAUAAAUCCGACCAUCAGAUCUGACCAUCAUGACAAAAUACAUGUAUGGGAAAAAAUUCAACUUGAUCCGACAAGAAUAAGGGCUCGAUCCGGACGGUCAAUCUCGUAAGUCAAACCCCUAAACGCACGGAAAAGGUCGUUCGACCGUCUAAAUUAUGUAUUUUGGCCGGACCUCCAACUGAAAAUAGUUUUAAAUCGAUGACACGCAACAAGUCGUAUAAAAAUUAUACGCAAAAUAACCACCGAAUAUACAUAGGGGGAAAAAUGAAAAAUUGCAUUGACCGCAACUAUCGGCACCGAAUAUUUACCGGAAUAGUGUGAUUUUUCAACCGUGGAUGUAUUUCAACAUUCUCGUCAUAUCUUAUUUCAUGACUUUUUGGCGUUUGAAGGUUUUACGUAUAGUUUGUUUUUGAAACGGAACAUUUACAUAACACUUGGUAAACAAGUUAUACAACAUUAGUAUGCAUGUUGUGAUUGUGAUGAUCAAACUUGAGAAACAGAAAUCCGACCGUCAAUCUGACCAUCAUGAUAAAAUACAUGUAUGGGAAAAAAUUCAACUUGAUCCGAAAAGAAUAAGGGCUCGAUCCGGACGGUCAAUCUCGUAAGUAACCCCUAAACGCACGGAAAAGGUCGUUCGACCGUCUAAAUUACGUAUUUUGGCCGGACCUCCAACUGAAAAUAGUUUUAAACCGAUGACACGCAAUUAGUCGUAUAAAAAUUUUACGCAAAAUAACCACCGAAUAUAGGACUAUAGUAGGUAAUAGAAAAAUUUUAGGGUUUAGCCGACGAAUACCCUAACGUAUUCGUCGGGUAUAGUGUGUAAUUAAAAAAUUAAAAAAUAACUAGAGCCGACGAAAUAUUAGGUUAUUCGUCGGCAAAAACCAUGUUAGCCGACGAAUUAUAGUGUAUUCGUCGGCUAUACUAUGUAAUUAAAAAUUAAAAAUAACUAUAGCCGACG
rnacentral:lncRNA from 1 species